GCAGUCGAACGCUUUUUCUUUCACCGGAGCUUGCUCCACCGAAAGAAAAAGAGUGGCGAACGGGUGAGUAACACGUGGGUAACCUGCCCAUCAGAAGGGGAUAACACUUGGAAACAGGUGCUAAUACCGUAUAACACUAUUUUCCGCAUGGAAGAAAGUUGAAAGGCGCUUUUGCGUCACUGAUGGAUGGACCCGCGGUGCAUUAGCUAGUUGGUGAGGUAACGGCUCACCAAGGCAACGAUGCAUAGCCGACCUGAGAGGGUGAUCGGCCACACUGGGACUGAGACACGGCCCAGACUCCUACGGGAGGCAGCAGUAGGGAAUCUUCGGCAAUGGACGAAAGUCUGACCGAGCAACGCCGCGUGAGUGAAGAAGGUUUUCGGAUCGUAAAACUCUGUUGUUAGAGAAGAACAAGGAUGAGAGUAAAAUGUUCAUCCCUUGACGGUAUCUAACCAGAAAGCCACGGCUAACUACGUGCCAGCAGCCGCGGUAAUACGUAGGUGGCAAGCGUUGUCCGGAUUUAUUGGGCGUAAAGCGAGCGCAGGCGGUUUCUUAAGUCUGAUGUGAAAGCCCCCGGCUCAACCGGGGAGGGUCAUUGGAAACUGGGAGACUUGAGUGCAGAAGAGGAGAGUGGAAUUCCAUGUGUAGCGGUGAAAUGCGUAGAUAUAUGGAGGAACACCAGUGGCGAAGGCGGCUCUCUGGUCUGUAACUGACGCUGAGGCUCGAAAGCG
rnacentral:rRNA from 1 species